GACGAACGCUGGCGGCGUGCUUAACACAUGCAAGUCGAACGGAAAGGCCUCUUUCGGGGGGUACUCGAGUGGCGAACGGGUGAGUAACACGUGAGUAACCUGCCCUUGACUUUGGGAUAACUUCAGGAAACUGGGGCUAAUACCGGAUAGGAGCUCCUGCUGCAUGGUGGGGGUUGGAAAGUUUCGGCGGUUGGGGAUGGACUCGCGGCUUAUCAGCUUGUUGGUGGGGGAGUGGCUUACCAAGGCUUUGACGGGUAGCCGGCCUGGGAGGGUGACCGGCCACAUUGGGACUGAGAUACGGCCCAGACUCCUACGGGGGGCAGCAGUGGGGAAUAUUGCACAAUGGGUGGGAGCCUGAUGCAGCAACGCCGUGGGCGGGAUGACGGGCUUCGGGUUGUAAACCGCUUUCGCUCAUGACGAAGCUUUGUGUGACGGUAGUGGGUAAAGAAGCACCGGCUAACUACGUG
rnacentral:rRNA from 1 species